CACGUAUGGGGCAAGCGUUGUUCGGAAUCACUGGGCGUAAAGGGCGUGUAGGCGGUUCGAAAAGCCCGGCGUGGAAGGUAUCCGCUUAACCGAUAGACUGCGCUGGGAACUGCCGGACUGGAGUCAUGGAGGGGGGGCUGGAAUUCCAGGUGUAGGGGUGAAAUCUGUAGAGAUCGGGAAGAACACCGGUGGGGAAGGCGAGCUUCUGGCCAAUGACUGACGCUGAGGCGCGAACGCGUGGGGAGGAAACACG
rnacentral:rRNA from 1 species